rnacentral:rRNA from 1 species
UGGGGAAUCUUGCACAAUGGGGGCAACCCUGAUGCAGCGACGCCGCGUGAGCGAUGAAGCCCUUCGGGGCGUAAAGCUCUUUCGACCGGAACGAUAAUGACGGUACCGGGAGAAGAAGCCGCGGCUAACUACGUGCCAGCAGCCGCGGUAAUCCGUAGGCAGCAAGCGUUGUUAGGAGUUACUGGGCGUAAAGAGUGCGUAGGCGGUUUUCUAAGUUCGGUGUGAAAUCUCCCGGCUUAACUGGGGGGGUGCGCCGAAGACUGGGAAGCUGGAGUGUGGGAAAGGCGGGCGGAAUUCCUGGUGUAGCGGUGAAAUGCGUAGAUAUCAGGAGGAACACCGGCGGUGUAGACGGCUUGCUAGACCAUAACUGACGCUGAGGCACGAAAGCGUGGGUAGCAAACA